GUCGGCCGGAGGCGGGACAGAGGCAGGUCGGCCUGUCCGCCUGGACGCGGACCUGGGCGCCGUAGGUGCCCUGGGAAGCGCAGGGGUGGGGGGUACCCGGCAGGAAGGUGGCCAGGGGUGCUGCGGGUGCCGGCGCAGCGAGGGAGGGCACCGUGGGAGGCAAGGGCCGUUCCCCGCGCCGCGCACAAUGCGCCGGUCCUGCGGCCCUCCCCGAGCAGGAGUCCGGGGACCCAGGCCCCAAGGCUGGGAGAGCGCCAGGCCCCUGGCCGGCUGCGCUCCGAUGAUCUCCAGGACUUAAGGGGUGUGAAGGGCGCUGGCGCAGCCUCUUUGCUUAACACUGGCUCUGAGGAUCCCCCGCCGAGAAACCGAGGCAGGCUUGCGGCUCUGGGCUCGUCAGCCUUGGCAGUGGCGUCUGGCCUGGAGUCUGGGGCAGCUGGUUUGGGAAAGGCUGCACCACGCAACCGAGGGUGGGACCCAGAGUCCCUGCUCCUUCCCCACCGCACCCAGCCCACCCCGCCCUCCCUCCCUGAUCCCUGCAAGCCAGGUGAGGCCCAGGGGGGACGUGACUCCCUUUCUGCAGAGGCACCUCCGGAAGGGCCUGGGUGAGGCUGCUAGACAGGGCAGCGGGGCACCCUCCUCCCGGAGCCCCCGCCUCUGGGCUGAGGCUCGGAUCCCCACCGCCUCCUGCGCAUGGAGGAGGCGAGAAGCGCAGGGAGACGGGGGCCCCAGACGGCACCCCGCAGGCUGCCAUUCCUUCAACCAAGAUGUAGAGAACGCCGUGGACAAAAGCUUUAAAAAAAUUCUGAAACCUCUGCCCGUGGGAAGUCAACAUUUUUGCGGAGCAGAGAGCCCAGGCACAAAAUAAGAAGGCGGAAGAGACGGGCUGGGGGGAUAGGGGGGACGGCGGCGGGGAAGGGCAGGGAGGGCGGCGGCGAAGGCGCAGGAAGCCCUGAAGCCGGGCGGCUUCCCCCUCCCAGGCCACGCUGAGAGACGGGGGUUGGGGGGAUUUAAAAUCGCGCGCCUGGCAGGGGCGGGGCGGGGGCCACCUGCCCUCCGGCGGGAAGAGCUGGGCAGGGCCCGCGGAGUGCAGGGCGGAGGCACUGGCGGUCCGCACCCGGGUGAGGUGAGGCGCGUAACCGCAUCUGAGCCGGACUCUUUAGGACGAGUCCCGUCCCUGGAGUCAGAAAACCCGGUCCAGCGCCAGCGUGGACGUGCGCUUCCCGGGACACGCCCAGGGACGCCGGCUAGGACCGGCGAGGCUGGAGGGGUGGCGAUGUUGGGGGCUGAGGUUCCUCGCCCCGGGGCGGGCGGCUGCUGGUAAGGGACCGCAUGGCCCCGCAGGUGAGGAGGGCGCAGGUGAGGAGGGCGCAGGUGAGCCGGGCGGGCUGCGGGCAGCGCCACCUCCUCCCGGAGGCCCUCCCUGAUUGACCGGCCGGGAACCGCGCGCCUCUGGGCCUGCGGCUGAGGUCCGGGGCUGCGCCGCGCCGAUGAGCUGACGCCGGGCCGAGCGCUCCACCCCCAGGGCCGGGCGCACCUGAAUCCCCUCCACCCGCGGGACUGCGGAGAGGGGGACGGCCCCCGGAUACCGCGUGGGGGCUUUGGGAGGAUGGGGAAUGGGUCCUGGGGGAGCAGAGCCUCCCAAAUUAAGGCCUCCCAAGAGCGCGGCCGGUCAUCCGCGGCGGCGAAGGGAAGGUGCCCUGUCGGUGCGUCCGGACCCCGCAGCCCCCCAGUGCCGCCCGGGGGCGGUGGGAGAGGGGCCGACACCGCAGGGCCCGCCGUGCUGUGGCCGAGGGGGCAGGUCCAGGCUCUGCUUCCCGGGCAGACGCCGGAGACCCCAGCAAGCCAAGCAGGGGCAGGAAGGCAGCUGGGCCAGAAGGGGACACUGAGGCAGGCCGAGGCGGCCGCGGGGGAGGGUGCCAGGACCAGCCCAGGAACCUCGGAGACCACGGUAAGCGGUGGCUGGUUCAGAUCCCAACUCCGGAGCUGUGUGACCCCAGAAAGUUCCUUAGCCCCUUGGUGCCUGCAUCCCCUGACGUGUGACAUAUACAUGAAUGGGGCUGUUGUAAGUGAACGCACACAGCACACCGGCACAUGUGUCACAACACUUAGAUGGGUUUAGAUGAAGAAACAGGGAAACCUUUGGGAAGUUUCCUGUAGUCAAAGGAAGGUUUUCGUUUUCCCCCUCAACCGUGACUGUUUCUUGGGCCGGCAGGAUAGGCUUUUGUUCUAGGGGUGUGGAGAGAGGGCCCCUUGGCAGCGUCCAGGGCCAACUGGGAACCAAGCAGGAAUCGUAUUUGUGCAGCCUGGAGUUCGAGGCUCUGGGUGCGAGUCGUAGUGCUUAAGCAGGAAGCAGCUGCCUGAUGCCCCUAGCCCCAGGCCGCCCUGCUCUGCCGUUUCGAGGGCGUGGGGGUCUUCUGAUCUCCACCUUGAUGCACCUCCAGGCCCGGGUCCUUUUGGGGUCUGGCACAGCAACCUGCGUUUGACAGCAUGGGCGUCCGCUGAUGCUGAGAGCUCAACUUCUGGUCCAAGGAAGAUCUUUUCUCUUCGGGGAACAGUCAUACAUUGUUUAACGAAAAGGAUACAUUCCUUCUGAGAAAUGCGUCCUUAGGUGAUUUUGUCCUUGUGUGAACACAGAGUGCACACACUGGCCCUGGUGGCACAGCCUGCUACACGCCGAGGCUGUGUGUCACAGCCUGCUGCUCCAGGGCCACGAGCCUACGCGGCAGGUGACUGUGCUGAAUAGCGUAGGCAGCUGUGACUCACUGGUAUUUGUGUAUCUAAAGCCAUCUAAACAUAGAACAGGUGCAGUAAAAAUACCGCGCUGUGAUAUGGGAGCACUGUGGCAUUGCUUGUUGACCGAAGGUUAUGUGGUGCAUGACUGUAUGUUCGUUUCCUGUGGGCGCUGGAACUAACGACCUCACGCUUGCUGGCUCAAAACAACAGCAGUCUAUUCUCUCUCAGCCCUGGAGAGCGGAAGCCUGCCUGGUGGAGGCGCUAGGGGAGUAUCCUACCUGCCUCUCCCAGCUCUGGGUGGCCCAGGCAUCCCUGUGCUUAGCUCCAGCAGCCGCCUCAGUGGCCAUGUGGCUUCUCUGUGUGGUCAAGCCUCACUUUGCCCCUCUCUUAUGAGGACCUUUGGGAUGACACGUAGAACCCACCUGGAUGAUCCAGGGAGGCCUUCCACCUCAAUUUAAUCCCGUCAGCAAAGUCCUUCCUUUGCCACAUGAGGUAACAUUCACAGGAUCCGGGAAUGGGGACAUGGGCAUCCUUUGGAGGGUGGUUCAGCUGAGCAUGGGAUCAUGAUACAGGUCCUGUGUAUAAAAUUCAAAUACUUGGCAGGUCGGGCACAGUGGCUCACACCUGUAAUUCCAACACUUAGGGAGGCCAAGGUGGGAGGAUCACUUGAGCCCAGGAGUUUGAGACCAGCCUGGGCAACAGAGCAAGACCCCAUCUCUACAAAUAAUUUUUAAAAAUUAGCAGCGCAUGGUAGCAUGCACCUGUAGUCCCAGCUACUCCAGAGGCUGAGGCUGGAGGAUCUCUUGAGCCCAGGAGACGGAGGCUGCAGUGAGCUAUGGUUGUGCCACUGCACUCCAGCCUGGGGGACUAGCUAGACCCUGUCUCAAAAAAUAAAAAUUUAAAAUAAAAUACAUAGAGAAUCUCAAGGUGGUGUGGACAGUUCUGAGUGUUGGGGAGAGAACAAAAGAAGGAAAGUGCAUUUUGGGUGGCAGAAAGCCCCUAACAGAGCCUUGGGCCCCUGCUUUGAAGCAGCCCUCACAGAAACUGACCACGAGUUAUGUUGGGCCCAUGACACUGGUUCCCUGGGUGGACACAGCCUGAGCCCAGCCCGCCCUGUCUGGAGCUCUCACCACCCUGCCUGGCCCGUGCCCAUGGGCUCACAAUGGCUUCAACCCCAUUUAUGUGUCAGCUCAAGCAGGCCUCCCCAGAGGGCUCAUUUGCACUUGGAUGCCCUCACCUGUGCUCCCUCUGUGGCUUCAGGAACCCCGGGGUCAUUACAGAGCUUGCUAAAUUCAUCCCUGGACGUGAGAUGUGUGUCGUAAGCAUCCAGGACUGUCCCAAGAUGGGAGAGGCGUUCAGUCAUGUUCACUCAAGUGAAGGCUUCUAUUCUACUUCCAGAUACACCUUUUUAACCUUCAAAGGGUCCAAUUUUAACCUUUCUUCCACAAAGCAUUUUACGUACCACUAAUAGUCCCAGUGCAGACCCCAAAGUUCCCCUGUAAGAUUCAUUUCCUGUGAUUCGAGCACAGCCUGAGGCAGAGCUUUCUGCUGGGUUUAUCCUCACUGAGACUCAGACUGCAGAGGGCCAGGAGGAGCCCUGCUUUUUGCAAGCAAUACCACCUGGGGUAGGACCCACAAGUGACAUCCUUUGUGCGUGGAUCUGGCCUUGGCCUCCGCACCGUCUGUUCAGCAAGUCCCUCCUUUGCCUGCCAAGGCUGAGGUCCUGUACUUUUGUGUGUGGAUCUGGCCUUGGCCUCCGCACCGUCUGUUCAGCAGGUCCCUCCUUUGUCUGCCAAGGCUGAGGUCCUGUACUUUUGCAAAGGUCCAGGCUGUUUGGUGCAGCUACAAUCAGGGUGCGUGGUUUCUCUAUGAACGCAAACAGCGGUCUCAAGGGGAAGGCCCCGGCAGAAAGUGCAUCAUGCGGGACACGGUGCAGGCGCUCCGAAGACGCCUCCUGCUCACUUCUGGCCUCCACCCCCUGCCCUGCAGGGUGACAGAUGGCUGUGCCUACACAUAAAACACCAGACGUGACCAAUAACUAUCUUAUAAUAAAUAUACUCGAACUUCUCAACUAGAACACAGAAAUGCUUUCAGGAAGUACAUCGCGCACCACCACGUGUGGUCCUGUGUGCAGCGGCGUGGGCCUCGCCCCGUCCCAUGAGCCAGCGUGAUGGGGGAGAGACCCUGAGUCUCCAGAACCCAACGGAACGUGGGUCUGCAGUGACGACGGAGACGCAAAAAAACAAGAAUCCGAAGAGGAAAGAGACAACGUGAGGAAAGUUGCCUUUGUUCUAGGAAAAGUCUUUUUCUUCACAGUAUAGUGACUCAUUUAUAAAGAGGAAGUGAGUUCUGUUGAAAAAUACUUGAAAUAUUCUCUUAGGGGGAGAAAGCAGUUCUUCACCAGCUUGGUGGGCCACUUGGCCGCGAGCUUCGAGCUCUGCUUGUUCUGGGCCAGCAGGGACAAUUCUUCUUCCGAAACCAGAGCCCAGUGCCUGCUGCUGAGAGGAGGGGAGGGAAGGUUGUGAGCAAGCGCAGCGCCCACUGGGUGGCCCCGGAGAUGGGGCUGGGAAGGAAUCGCUGCGAGGGGGCGAGGGGAACAGCCUGCCUCUCAGUUGUCCCAGGUGCCUAAGACCCCCCCCCCGGAACCCCCGCCUGAUUCUGGGAGUUUUUCUCAUGGAGGUGGAGUGAGCAACAGGGGACCAGAUGACUCCCUUGCCUCCCGCCUCCCCCGGCCGGGGGCUGGUCCCCUGGGAAGCAGGCUGGGGGUCACUCCGUGUGAACAGCGAGCUCCAGGGCCAUCGCUAGAGGAUGUCACCAUCCCUGGGCAGCACCCCCGCAGAGGAAAGGACAGGACUCUGGGCAAAAGUUGGCCAAACCCUCGCAGAGUCAGCGAGCAUUCCCAGGGAAUUCUAUCACAAAGGCCGUCCCCUGGGUUCCUGGGGCUGCCUGUGCCGGGAGCCCCAGCCCUGGGUGCAGGAGGGCAGGUGGUGAGAGGAAAGGUCCCCUGCCAGCCUGCUGUGAGGAGCCCUUGAGGAAGACGGGCUUUGCAGACUUGGCACCAACACCCCCUCUCCUGCUCCCAGCCACCCCACUGGAGGCCAGGAACAUUUCUCAGUUUAUUUUGGGGUGAAGACUGCGAGUGAAGUGCCAGAUACAGUGUCCCCCUCCUCCUCCUCCUCCUCAGGCACCCUCCCUAGGGCAGUGGGGACUGUCCUUAACCAUCCUGGGGGUGAUGGUGGCUACCUCUGCAAAAGGAUUUCUCCUUUCAGUGAGUGGGUGUCUCUCAUGUCACUGUUGAGACACCCAGGAGCCUGGGAGGGAAACCUGUGGGAAGGAACUGCCAGCCUCCUUCUGGGAACCAGGUGACCCCAGGAUCACGGCUCAGGUGGAUCCAGCCCUCGAAACCCUGUGAGGAGCUCUGUGGAGCCUCGCUCAGAAAGGGGGGCUGGGAAGAAGCAGCUGCCAGCCCACAGCCCAAGCCUGCAGGGGCCACAAGUGUGGCCACUGGAGCAGAGGGAGGUGCCUUUUGUGGAGCAGCAACCCUGGGUCUGGCUGCACCUGCCACUUAAGAACCCUGAUGGGGCGCUGUUCUCACUGCUGUGUGGACGCAUAGAGCCUCCGGGGGCCAAGGAGCCUCUGGGGCCAGGCAGCAGGUGAGGCAUGGCCUGUAAUGCACACAGGUGUUGCUGGGUCUGCCCCCACCUUCACCCCCGCUCACCCAGCCCCACAGAGCCUGGCAUGGCCUCCCAGGAAGUGACAUGGCGGGGAACAGGCUUAGGGUUAGGGGGAGGCUGUGCGAAGGCUGGCAUGCAGGUGAGAGGGCUUCUGAAGAGAAAGCAUGCUGGAAAAGUGCUUCGGCUCAGCCCCACCCAAACUCAAAUCCAGGGGAAGCCAGGCCAGCAAGACCUGCAGGUGCCAUGCCUUGGCAGGUGCCAGGCAACAGGAUCGUGCCUCGGUGGUGACGUGGGAGAUGCUGGAACCGGGGAGGUGAGAGGGAGUAAGUUUCCAGAACUCACUCUCAGGCAGGAGGAGAUCAUGACUCAGCUGAGCCAGAAAGCGCUCGUUCCACACGAAUGCACGUAUGAGCGAGGCACGCCAGGCGAGUGUGGGAGUGAGGGGAUGGAUGGGCGGUUGGCUGGAGGUCGUGAGGUCUGGGCCGCCUGGAAAGGCUGUUGAGGGGCGGGGGCAGCUGGGAGAGGCUGUGGGGGCAGCAGAAGGGGGUGCUUAGCCGCAGAGAGGGCACGUGGGGAAAGGCCAUGUGUUCAAGGCCCCAAAAGGUGGGGAGGGCAGCCCAGGAGUGCACCGCAGGGGGUGCAAGCGUGUGGGUGGGUGAGACUGAUGCGUGUGUGCCUGUGUGAUUGUGAGCACAUGUGAACGUGUGGAUGCAGGUGGUAGUCGUGAGUGUGCUUGUGUGAGCAUGUGACUGAGGGAGCAUGUGGGUGUGUGGAUGAGCGUGACUGUGGGGAUGACUGUGUGUGCAUGCAUGAGCACACAGGUGUGUGGAUGAGCGUGACCGUGGGAAUGACUGUGUGUGUGUGCAUACAUGAGCACACAGGCGUAUGGAUGAGCGUGCAAGUGAGUCAUGUGAGUGUGGCUGAGUGUGAGCACGCAUGAGCUUGUGGGUGUGCAAGGGAGGUGGGGAGGCCACACGGAAUGAAAGCCUGGGGGCUGCAGCCGAUUCAGGGCCAGGCCGCCAUGGCGCAUAUGGGUGUCCAGGGGCUGGACCCCGAGAAGCUGAGAGCCAGUGCUGGAGAAGCUCCCCAAGGGGAAAGGGGCAUCCUCAGGCUUCGGUGUCUUCAGGGUCUCAGGGUGGCCCCGAAGGCCGACCGCAGUCCCACUGGGGCGCAGAGGCUGCUCUGGGCUUGGCUCUGCUAGACAGACCCCAUUUCCUCAGUGAACCCCGCUUCUGGGUCCAUGUUCCCCUUGACCCUGAACGCUUUCAGCUGCCCAGGAAAUACCUCCUUAUGGCUGGGAUGUUGCUCCACACGCGGACAGCAUUCUGCAAGGAUCCGCCGUGGACAUCUGGGAUGGUGACUGGCUCCAUCUGGGGGCGGGAGGGUCGGCCGUGGGUCAGGGGACCUGGACGGUAAGCGCCCCCCACAGGCCCACUGGCCUCAGCCGCCAAUGGCCCUGAGUGGUCAAUGGACUUUCUAGCCCGACUGUGUUCCCUACGUCCUUUUUUCUUAUGAAUCACCUUUGGAGAAAAAUGCUGAUGAAUUAUUUUAAACUGACAGAACAGACUCUGUGGCAAUAAGAUAUCAAAUUACAAACAGGACCUCAGGCCGCGCCAGGCAAGGGUCGAGCCGAGCCGCGUGCCCUACACUGAGAGGACGGACUCUGCCCUCACGCCACAGCUGCUGCUUUUUCUGCAGCGGCUAAACACGCACUGGCCCCGCGAUGAGGAUGAGCAAGGUUCAAAUGACUGCAGCUCAUCCACCUGCAGAUGCCAACUGACCACGUUCCACAGCCAUGACCACAGCUCUGACUGGGCAGGAGACUGACUUCAGGAACCUCCUCCUGAUAAGGGACCCCGACCACAGACUGGCUCCGGCCGGUUUACAGAGGUUGUGCGCUUGAGGGCCUGUGUCCUGAGAAGACCUCUGAGGUUUAGGGCCUCAUUGCGACACACUGACAUGAUAAGACUCCACCCCGGAGUGAACAGAGGUCGUAAGUUCCACGGAUUUUGUUCAGUACGCACGCAGCAGGACCCCCUUCAUGAAUAUUCACCGCUCCUCCAUAACCUGCCGCACAGGUUUAGCCAACCCGGUCAGCACGGAGCUCCUGCCCCAGCCACCCCUCCCCUUCGAAGUGCCUCCUCCUGGCUCCUCUGGUCUUGGUGGAGGCCCCGUGCUUCCCAGCCUGGGGGACGGGACCUUGCAGGCUGUGCCCCUUUACAGAAACAAAGUCUCCUGUUCUAAAAGCACAGACUUUGUGAUUUUCAGCUCAUGGCGUUUGCUCCCCUUCUGAAUAGCUGGAUUUGCAUUCCAGCCACUCCACGAGAUUCCAGCACCAAAGGAACCUCAACGCCACCUGGACCCCCAGCAAAGGCUCUGGCCCACAGGUGCUGCCCACUCGGUGGGUCGGGCCCCCGCUGGCUGUGGCCCCUCCAUGGAACCUGAGAGCAUGAGGAAAUUCCCCCUCCUGAGCCUCACGCCUGUCUCCUGUGGCUGAGGUGUGGCCGUCCCUCCCCAACCCUGGAAGUGUCUGGAACACCCGGCCCAUCAGCCCCAGAGGGGACCCAUCCGCUGAGUCCAAAAGUGGCUGCUCUGACAAUCAGGAUUCAGACGUGUGAAGAAAAGGCUGUAUGUGUGUGGUGUGAGUAUGUGUGCACGUAGUGUGCCUGUGUGUGUGUGGCAAGUGUGUCCCUGUGUGUGGUGCAUGUGUACAGUGACUGUGCACUGCAGUGUGUGUGCACCUGUGUGUGUGGUGUGAUGUGCGUGUGUGUGGGUGGAGACUGAGGGGGCAGGGGCAGGAGGUGAGCCCCCGAGGCCGUGUUCUGUGAGCACAGGAGUGGUGCGAGGUGGGACUGCCCUCCCAUGCUGUCCUUGAAGGGGCUUUGUGUCCCAGGCCGCAGUCCCUGCCCGGACUGCACAGCAGCUCUCCUGGGCCCUGUACACACCUGGAAACCAGGGGCCGCAAGGAGCCAGGCCCGGAGCCUGGGGUGUAGACUGAGCUCCACCAGAAAAGCCCCUCCCUCACGUGGGCAGGGGUCAGAGGGCGGCCCACGCAGCCCUGCACGCACCUCCAGGAAGCGAGAUGCGACGUCCAGGUCUUCCUUGUUCAGCACCAGAUUGUCCACGAACAUCCAGAAGAAGGGCCUGGGGCUGCCUGGCUUGGGCCGUGCGUACUGCAGGAGCCGGUGGAACUGGAACAGCAGCAAUGAAGCCCUGCCCAGUGCUGGGGCCACAGAGGUGCAUGGACCCCUCCUCCCCCAGGCAGGCCUAGAGUGGGGAAGAGACAGACAGGCAACCCCGAGGGAGGAGCUGACGCAGAGCGCGUGCCGCGGCACAAAUACCGCCUUUUAGAGGAAGCUCCAGAGGACACGUGAGCUGCAGUGAUGUGGGCACGCUGGGGGCUGCAUGGGGUCAGCGGGAGGCUUGGGGGCACAGGGAAGCCUGCAGUGAUGGGGACUCUUACUCUGUUGCUCUCUUACUCUGAUGAGGGGUGCAUGGGUGUGGAGCUAGCUCAGAACUCAUCCAGUCGGACACACUGAAUGCGUGCAACUUACUGUAUGUCAGUGGUGCCUCGAUAAAGCUGUUUUUGAAAAAUGCUGACAAUUUGCAGUUUCUGCCCUGGCAUGGAGGUGUGAGGAGAGAGGAGAGGAGACAGGGGUGGUGGGGACAGGCUGCCAGAACUGAAGCAUCACUCACUGGGAGGACGGUCACAGGUGUGGCCCAGGGGAGGUGUGGCGCCGUACACAAGAUCGAAGGGUCCCCACUCCUCCACCUGCAGGACAGAGGGGAGUGGGCACUGAGAGGCAGCAGCAGUGGGCAAGGUCGCGUGCGGCAGCACGAGAUGACCCCAGGGCAGACCCUGCUCAGCUCGCAGGGCCCACAGGCCAGGGCAAGCUGAGGAGUGGAGCCCACUAGGGCAGAGCCAUCCACAGCCACCACCAGCCUCAGGGGCUGCCUGCCUGGAGCCCAGAGGAGAAAGCUCCGGGUCUGAGGUGAAGACUCUGUGCCAUGCAUUUGGGGACUGAAUUCUGCCUUUAUUUUUUCUUGCUCAAAUUCCUUUCUAAGGAGCGUAGGGGAAUCACGCCUUACAAACCACAAAAGCUUGUGGAAUGGGUGUUUUUGACCUGGUAUAUUGUGACUCUGCCAUGGCACCACAUGACAGACAGCAGACCUCCUUAUUUUAACUCAAGCAUUCCUUUCUACUGACUCCCAGUUUUUAGGCAAAGCUCAACUCUUUCAACCAACUGCCAACUAAAGAAUCCCUAAACCCACCUAUAACCUGUAAGCUUCAAGAUAUCUCGCCUUUUGGGGCUGAUCCAAUGCACAUCUUCUAUGUAUUGAUUUAUUGAUUGAUUGAUUUUUUGAGAUGGGGUCUCACUCUGUCACCCAGGCUGUAGUGCAAUGGCGAGAUCUCGGCUCACUGCAACCUCUACCUCCUGGGCUCAAGCAAUCCUCCUGCCUCAGCCCCCUGAGCAACCCCAGGUGCACAUCACCAUGACUAGCCAACUUUUUUGUAUUUUUGGUAGAGAUGGGGUUUCACCAAGUUGCUCAAACUGGUCUUGAACUCCUCAGCUCAAAGUGCUGGGAUUACAGGCGUGAGCCACCGCGCCCGGCCCGUGUACUGUUUUCUGAUUCCACCUGCAGUUCGCAUCUCCCUGAAAUGUACAAAACCAAUUGUGCUGGGAGUGGUGGCUCACGCCUGUAAUCCCAGCACUUUGGGAGGCAGAGGCGGGCGGAUCACGAGGUCAGGAGAUUGAGACCAUCCUGGCUAACACGGUGAAACCCCGUCUCUACUAAAAAUAUAAAAAAAUUAGCCAGGCAUGGUGGCGGGCGCCUGUAGUCCCAGCUACUCGGGAGGCUGAGGCAGGAGAAUGGCAGGAACGCGGGAGGCGGAGCUUGCGGUGAGCCGAGAUCACGCCACUGCACUCCAGCCUGGGCGACAGAGCAAGCCUCCGUCUCAAAAACAAAUAAAUAAAUAAAUAAAAUAAAAAUAAAUAAAUACAUAAAACCAAAUUGUAACUGACCGCCUCAGGUGCACUUCCUCGGGAUCUCUUAAGACUGUAUUUCCCAGGCCAUGGUCACUCUUAUUGGCUCAGAAUAAACCUAUUUAAAAACUUUGGCAGAAUUUGGUUUUUCUGUCUGUCCUCACAUUGCCCUUAGAGAACCAGUCCUGGGAGGCCCAACAUGCAGACUACCUAGGGAAGUAACUGUCAUCUGUGAACACAGCAGGUGCCGUCCGCAGCCCUCCAGGAGCUAACAGCAAGGGCAGAGCCUUCCCUGCUGAACAGAAACAGCCCCCACAGAGUAGCUCCCUGGGGACCACAGAGUAGGUCCCCACAGGCUAUUCCAUGGCCGAGCUGGAAGAAGACAAAACACAGCCACCCAACAAUCUUGCCUGAACACAUGCCCUUCAGUCACAAAAAGUGACCAAGGGGAGGCUGUGAGCAACACUGGCUUCAUUAACAGUGAUGGCCCUCACUCUGUCAUUCUUAUUAAAUAAAAAUUAACAGCUGGACGUGGUGGCUAACACCUGUAAUCCCAGCACUUUAGGAGGCCAAGGCGGGUGGAUCACCUGAGAUCAGGAGUUCAAGACCAGCCUGGCCAAUAUGGUGAAACCCCGUCUCUACUAAAAAAUACAAAAAAUUAGCUGGGCAUGGUGGCGGGUGCCUGUAAUACCAGCUGCUUGGGAGGCUGAGGCAGGAGACUCGCCUGAACCCUGGAGGCGGAGGUUGCAGUGAGCCCAGAUUGUGCCACUACACUCUAGCCUGGGCAACAGAGUGAGACUCCAUCUCAAAAACAAAAAACAAAAAAGCCCCCCAAAACUUAAGAUAGUCAAGUAUCAGAACCCCGUCUCCUGAUAGCACCAGUCAACAAUGGACUCCACUUCCCUGGACCCCCUCAAAUCACAUAACAGCCCGAAUCCCAUUAGCCCCAAACUCCUCAUGCCUCCGGGGCAUCAUUUUGUGUCCUUCCACGAUGUAGCAAGUGGAUAAACCUAACUGUUGAUGGCAGGUGCAACCUGAGGGUCUCCGAGUGCCGAAAAGGCAUGGUGGGGUGGGGACAGCGGAGGUGAGGGGGGGCUGCUGGUCCCAGGCCGGGAGCCCCCAAAAGACCUGUACACAGGUGGCUGCUCAUGCUUCUCUCACAGUGGCAUGGGAAGGCACCAAGGCAGCGGGGAAUCUGGCCUACAGGGGGAACGCACGACUGGAGCUGUGUCACCUCCUUCCAGCAGCGGGAGGAUGCUUUCAAACAGUGACCAGUUGUCCAGGUCAAGGCUCGGCCUCCUCAUUUUAGAGGGUGGAGUGGGGGUUCAGCCCCUCCUUGCCGGACAGCGCCCCAUCACAGGCAGUGGAAUUUGGCUACUUAGAUUUCAAGAUGUUGGACAAGAUGUUUGCCCAACUGCCCUGCUCUGAGCUCUGGGCUCUGGGCUCUGGGCAAUGCUGGGACCACCAAAACGUGCUGCUCAGCCCUCCGCUGCGGGGCAUCACAGUGGUGGCUGGGCCGGCGGGGUUGGGCUGACUCCUGUCAGACCCAGGAUCCCCACCAGGCUGCCGAGAGGCCCCCGUGUGUUCAGGACUCCUCCCAGCCCCUGCUGCCGCCUCCUUGCCCGCCUCAUCCUUGGCAUUUCCUCUGAGGAAGCUCGCACCCCCGCUCCCACUACAGUGUCUGAGAGUUCACGGCGGUACUCACAUCCUUCCUCACUGUGUCUGUGACAUCAACCACAUGCUUCAGUUGUCCCGGGUCAGAACCACUUUCCAAAAAGCCCAAACUCGUCAGCUCUGGAUGGGGAGAGACCAGAAGGGCCCAGAGGGUGAGCGUGGAUUGUGCCCCUACAGGGACUCGAAAAGGCUGACGGACGAUCAGAGGACCCUCCUACCAUUAAGGAGCCAACUGUAUAUUUUUGUUGUUGUUGUUUUGAGAUGGAGUCUCCCUCUGUCGCCCAGGCUGGAGCGCAGUGGCGUGAUCUUGGCUCACUGCAACCUCCGCCUCCCAGGUUCAAGCGGUUCCCCUGCCUCAACCUCCCGAGUAGCUGGGACUACAGGCAUGUGCCACCACGCCCGGCUAAUUUUUUUGUAUUUUUAGUAGACACAGGGUUUCACCAUGUUGGCCAGGCUGGUCUCCAACUCCUGACCUCAAAUGUUCCGCCCACUUCAGCCUCCCAAAUUGUUGGGAUUACACGUGUGAGCCACUGCACCCCGCCCAACUUUAUCUUUUUAAUGACGUGGCAGGAGGAUUAAGGAUGGAGGUUUUUGUCUCACAACAAGCUAAACAAGCAAACAUUGCCAAGUAUUGAUUUAAGAAUGUCAAGCACGGCCGGGCACAGACGCUCAAGCCUGUAAUUCCAGCAUUUUGGGAGUCCAAGGCGGAUGGAUCACCUGAGGUCAGGAGUUCAAGACCAGCCUGGCCAACAUGGUGAAACCCUGUCUCUACUAAAAACACAAAAAUUAGCUGGGCGUGGUGGUGAGCACCUGUAAUCCCAGCUGCUCGGGAGGCUGAGGCAGGAGAAUUGGUUGAACCCGGGGGGCAGAGGUGCAGCGAGCCGAGAUCAAGCCUGGGCAACAGAGCGAGACUCCGCCUCAAAAAAAAAAAGGAUGUCAAGGACUGUAUUACAGCACCAGGCAUUUCUGGGAUGCGAUGUCACCUCUGGCUAGGAAAUCCACAGAGCAGUGGAGUCCACUCCACUCUGCAGCUGGUGUGAGCUGCAGAGCCCUGGAACGGCCCUGGAGGAGGCCCUGGCUUUCUCAGCCCCUCCUGGGCAGCAAGACCUUGGACAGGCUGUGCAGGCGCUGCGGGAUCAGGCUCCUGAUCGGCUGCAUGGGGCAGAUAUGUGCUCCCGCAUGAGGCCGCUCUGAGACACUUGUGGGCCUUAGUGGGUGUCCCAGCGGGACACAUCCCUAACGGCCAGAGGAGAGGGAGUGUCUUCAUGGAUUUGGCUGUGCCUGCGGGGCCCAGAAGACAAGUGCCAUUUCCAAAGGCCCCAGUGCAGGGUUAGCAUGGGCCCAGGGUGGGGAAGGGUACAGGACAUCAGCAGUUGGCCGGUCUAGGGGAGGGGGUGGGGAGUCCCGGGGGGUGGCCUGAGGGGCAGUCAGGUGUUUAGAGGCAUCUUUCCAUGUGUGUCUUUGGGACAUCACUGACUCACCUUUCUUGAUGUCUUCAAAAAGGGACAGCACCCGGACUGGCUGUCUCCUCCACACAGGCACGGUUUCGAACAUCUCAAGGGGAUUCUCCUAUUUAUUAAAAAACCAAAACAGGACAUUGUGCCGGCUACUUGGCUACAGAGCCCUUGAGUUACAAUGAAAAUUCUUCCCUGGAUGAACACUCACUCGAGACUCACCGGAGACACACAUAAGACACACCUGCUGAGGCUGACUGGGCCUGUCCUGACCAGCACUGCCCCCCCAGGAAGGCCAACUCCACCCCCUGCUCCAGCCUCAGUCUCCCGCUCUGACCUGUCUCCAGCCGAGAGACAGUAGGUGUGGAGGGGUUUGCUGAUUUUUUUUUUUUUUUUUUUUUUGAGAUGGAGUCUUGCUCUGUCACCCAGGCUGGAGUGCAAUGGUGCAAUCUUGGCUCACUGCAACUUUCCGCCUCCCGGGUUCAAGCGAUUCUCCUGCUUCACCCUCCCGAGUAGCUGGGAUCACAGGCACCCGCCACCACGCCCGGCUAAUUUUUGUAUUUUUAGUAGAGACAGUUUCACCAUAUUGGCCAGGCUGGUCUUGCUCAUCCUGGCAGCUUCCAGAACCUCGGAGAAGAGAGCCCCAAGGCCAGAGAUGCCGGGGAGAGGUGAGCCUCGGGGCAGGUGAGGCCUGUGGUUUUCCCUGACCCUGCCAACCUGAUGGGCUAGGCGGGCAGCCAGCUCCAGCCUCACAUGCUCCCUGUUAAAGGGCCAACCCCCAAGGCCCAAAACUCGGGGGCCUCGGCUUUCAGAGUGCUAGGCUCUGUUCCUAUAAAAUACCUUCCCAUCUGACCCUUUCCUUCGAAUUGGAGCAGGCUGAAGCUUGCUAGGCAGGGAGAGAUGACUUCGUUCAACCUUAACAAAUGUGAGCUGGAGGCCAGUGCAGUUUCAUGGUCAGCUCAGGGGUCCCUUGCUCCCCGCUGGCUGCCUCACCGGGGGCCACACCCCUUCUGUAGGAGCUUCCCGUGGCUGGCCUGCAAAUUAAAACAGACUGGAGGGGCUGGGCCCGGUGGCUCAUGCCUGUCAUCCCAGCAUUUUGGGAGGCUGAGGCAGGUGGAUCACUUGAGGUCAGGAGUUCAAGACCAGCCUGGCCAACAUGGUGAAACCCUGUCUCUACUAAAAGUACAGAAUUAGCCGGGUGUGGCGGUCGGUGCCUGUAAUCCCAGGUACUCAGGAGGCAGGAAGGAGAAUCGCUUGAACCCGGGAGGCCGAGGUUGCAGUGAGCCAAGAGGGUGCCAUUGCACUCCAGCCUGGGCAGCAAGAGCAAAACUCCAUCUCAAAAAUAAAAAAAUAAAAAACAAGGCCGGUGCGGUGGCUCACGCCUGUAAUCCCAGCACUUUGGGAGGCCGAGGCGGGCGGAUCACGAGGUCAGGAGAUCGAGACCAUCCCGGCUAAAACUGUGAAACCCC
rnacentral:lncRNA from 1 species